AUAGGCGGAGGAAAAGAAACCAACAGGGAUUGCCCUAGUAACGGCGAGUGAAGCGGCAACAGCUCAAAUUUGAAAUCUGGCGUCUUUGGCGUCCGAGUUGUAAUUUGCAGAGGGCGCUUUGGCAUUGGCAGCGGUCCAAGUUCCUUGGAACAGGACGUCACAGAGGGUGAGAAUCCCGUACGUGGUCGCUAGCCUUUACCGUGUAAAGCCCCUUCGACGAGUCGAGUUGUUUGGGAAUGCAGCUCUAAAUGGGAGGUAAAUUUCUUCUAAAGCUAAAUACUGGCCAGAGACCGAUAGCGCACAAGUAGAGUGAUCGAAAGAUGAAAAGCACUUUGGAAAGAGAGUUAAAAAGCACGUGAAAUUGUUGAAAGGGAAGCGCUUGCAGCCAGACUUGCCUGUAGUUGCUCAUCCGGGUUUUUACCCGGUGCACUCUUCUACGGGCAGGCCAGCAUCAGUUUGGGCGGUUGGAUAAAGGUCUCUGUCAUGUACCUCCUCUCGGGGAGAACUUAUAGGGGAGACGACAUGCAACCAGCCCGGACUGAGGUCCGCGCAUCUGCUAGGAUGCUGGCGUAAUGGCUGUAAGCGGCCCGUCUUGAAACACGGACCAAGGAGUCUAACAUCUAUGCGAGUGUUUGGGUGUCAAGCCCGAGCGCGUAAUGAAAGUGAACGGAGGUGGGAACCUUUCGGGGUGCACCAUCGACCGAUCCUGAUGUCUUCGGAUGGAUUUGAGUAAGAGCAUAGCUGUUGGGACCCGAAAGAUGGUGAACUAUGCUUGAAUAGGGUGAAGCCAGAGGAAACUCUGGUGGAGGCUCGCAGCGGUUCUGACGUGCAAAUCGAUCGUCAAAUUUGGGCAUAGGGGCGAAAGACUAAUCGAACUAUCUAGUAGCUGGUUCCUGCCGAAGUU
rnacentral:rRNA from 1 species